UCCUAAAACAUCCAAACAGAACUGCUCUCUGGCCCAGGCGAUCCGGGCCAGCCACAGGCGCAGCAAGGCGGGGGGCCUGCAGGCUUGCUCUGCAGGGCUUGAAGAGAGACAGCUCGGCAACAAGCACCCAGCGCGCCUCGGGUUAAAACCAUGCCAAGGGAGGAAGAGCACCACCUCCACGGCCAGCUGGGCUAACCAAAGGCUCCGGGAACAGGACUCUGAAGGAUGAAUGACUCAGAGACAUCUCCAGAAGUGAGAAGGAGCAGCCAACCAUCACCCGGCCAGGGAGGCCAGAGGAAGGGAGCCUACCUGCAGGGGCCGAAGGGAUCCUCCAUGACUAACAGAGCCCCGGGUGAGUCUAGCUGAUCCCUGCACCUCUCUUACCGCUAAAACUCUGCCCUUUUCUACUCUAACUGCUCAAAAUGGAGGCACAUGCAGUCUGAGAGACCUCACAGAGCUUUCACUGAGCUUGUGCUAUGACCUAAGCCUCCACGCAGAACGCAGAAACUUCCCCUCACACUGACAGGACUGAGCAUGUGCUGUGACCCUCCCUCAUCCACACACUGUCUCUGCACGACGCAAUCAAUCUCAACCCUGCUGUUUCCGUAAAUAAAGCCCAGCCAACAGACGCAGCAGCUUCUCCCUGCACACCAAGCUAGUGUGCAGGGAAGUGGGGCCUCAGGAAGGGGAUCUGAGACAGCCAACGCCACAAGCUCGGCAAGCCCUGCCAGGUGGAGGCUUCAGUCCAUGCCUGCGCCUCCAGACAACAGCAAGUUCUGUUUUGUCUAUUUUUUUUUUUAAAGGAAAUGGUGGUCUUAAAUAGCAAGAUUUCCAAGAAAGAAUAGAAACAAAGGACAUAAACAACUAUGUGUAAGAGUAAUUAGCAGAAAUAUUCCAGCACAUUUAAAAUCAUAGUAGUAGCUACUUAAGAAAACCAACUCCAUACAUCUCUCUUUGAAAAUCUUCAACAUUUGGAAAACAAAUACACCACUGUAAACCUAUGGAGUGCAUGGUACUGUCACAUAGAAACAGACACAGUGUCUGGAGGGCAUGACAAGAAGGGUAACUCCCAGUGACUCUGGAGGCCAAGACAGGAUUACAAAUUUGAAGUCAGCCUCAACAACUUACUGAAGCAAAAAAAAAAAAAAACCCAAAACUGUACUGUAUGCAAAGAUUUAGAUCUUCCUUAAAGAAGCUAAAAACUCUCUCAAUACUAAAUUAAAAGGUUCCCUAAAGUAACACUAGCCCAAUCCAAUAUGGUUUGAAGACUGGCUUUCUCACAGUAAGAAGAGCAAGGAAAAUUCAAGUUAAGAGUUCAAAGAACACCAUGCCACAAACACCUGAGCACCCCCAAACCAUAUGUGAGGAUUGGGCUGGGGAUGUAGCUUAGUGGUAGAGCACCUGCCUAGCACACAUGAGGUCUGUGUUCAAUUCCCUACACCACAAAAUAAAUAAAUAAAUUCAUUAAGGUCUUUUCAGAAAGAUUUCUAAAUCCAUAAGGUCAUCCCCUCUUAAUGUAGUGAGCAUUAGGAAAGCACUCUCACUGUCUACACCAACAGUAGAGACAUUUUUCUAUUAAUACUCAGUUUAAUUAAAAACACAGUGUAUGCCCUCUCUCCCAAUUUCCACCUCCCAAUGUCCACCUUAUAAAGAAACUCUAUAGAUAGACUUAGUUUCCACUUGCAACCUCAGAAAUAAUUUUAUGUAUUACUUAGUUAAAAUUAAGAAAGAAAAAAAAUAAAAGGAAGACCAAUCUCCCCAGAAACCAUAAAGAACAAGAUAGGAUGGCAAGGCAGUGUGAAUUCUGUUUCCCAGAAAUGUGAAGAAAAGUCAGCACCACAGAAUCAAGUCCAUGCCCACAGUCUCCUAUCCAUGCUCUGAACUAAGACCAUGAGUCAAUAAAUCUUACCGUGCUCCAAACAUGACUUGUAAAGUACAAGUCAUGCCAAAUACACUUAAAUAAGUUUUCCUUUUGACCCAAUGCAUGAAAUAGGUUCUCCUCGUUGGUUUGUGAAACAUGUCUACAGAGCGGGUUUAAUAAGGAAUAAUCUAAAGAAAAUUACUUUCUGAAAACAAAAGUAAAGGAAUUAGAAUCUGGCAGCCAAGUAAUAUGAAUAUGACCAGAAAAGAAUUCCUCUCAGAAGGAUCCAUUAAAAUAAAACAAAACAAAAAAGCCCUAUCAAACCUUUUCACACAGAAAAUGUUCAUUGGGAGAAAUCACCAGAAACUAAUAAUUUAAUAUAUUCAUCACUACUCCGAGAAACCAUGGGAACGAUUACGUAAAGCACAGUAGAAAGUUACUUUACAGCAAGUCAAGCAAAUUACAUUUUCAAAAUUGUAUAUUCCAUCUCAAUAGAUACCUAGGAAACACCACAGGCACUUCAUCAGAACCUCUGUUACACUGGGUCCCAGGAGUAACAGCCACUUAACAUCAACAUCCUCUUCACUGUCUUUCCUUACACAGGCAUCUCACAGGUAUUCUUUACAGGCCACCAAAACAGAGGCUCCUUUUUCCUGUCACCAGUGGCUCUCCAGACCUCCUCUCCUUCACAUCCUGUCUCCCACAAUUCCAACCACAGACGGGGAGCUCUUCUCAGGCAAAAACAAUGUAUAUCUCAUCUGUUUAGAGCCACCCAACAAUUUUAUUUUGUAUCUCAACAAAUACACUUGAAACACAAAAUCAAAACCACCAUUUUUUGGCAAAAAAACUAAUCAUGAGGAAAACAUCAAACAAACUCAAAUUAAAGAUCAUUUGGUAAAACUGGCUCCUACUCUUCAGAAAAGCCAAUGUCAUGAAAAAUAUAGAAAGGUAAGGAAACAUCAGGAGAAUAAAGACAGGCAAAGGCCAGUAAAGAGACACAGCAAUGAAAAGGUGAUGCAGGAAGGAUCACGGGGGAGGGGGGGAUUACUAAGAAGACCAUUACUGGAAAAACUUGCAAAGUCUGAAUAUGGACCAUGUGGUACUCCAGCAAUGUUAACUUUCCUGAUUUUAAGAACAUUCUUCUUCUUGGAAAUAUAUACUGAAGCAUUUGGAGAAGAGAAGGCUGCUGUCUGAAGCUCACUCACAGAUCAUUCAGGAAAGAAUAAUAGUGUGUCAGCAGGGCACAGUGGUGCAUGUUGUAGUCCCAGCUACUUUUGAGAGGCUGAGACGGGAGGAUCACUCAUACCAGAAGACAGUGCCAGCCUGGGCAAUGUAGCAAGACCCCAUCUCCAAACAACAACCAAAGGAAAAUACUAUAGAAAGUGAUGAAGCAAAGAUGGCAAACACAAAGAUGAAUAUGGCAAGAAAAGAUAUCAUAAAGUAAAUGUGUAAUGAAGUUGAAAAGGUAGUGACAAAAAAUAUAUAAGAAAAAAGGAAAUAGGACAAAAUGUUAACAAGUGGAGAGUGGGUAAAAGAUAUAUUCUAUUCAUAACUCUUCUUUAUGUAUACAAGAUUCCAAAUUCAAAAUUUAAGUAUAUCUAAAGCAAACUAAAAAAUACCUUUACAGGCCCUACA